AGAGAUGUGUGAUGACGCAUAUCAAUAAGCGGAGGAAAAGAAACUAACAAGGAUUCCCCUAGUAACGGCGAGUGAAGCGGGAAGAGCUCAAAUUUGAAAUCUUCAAGGUUUUACCUUGACGAAUUGUAGUUUAAAGAAGUGUUUUCGGUUAGAGGAGUGGUAAAAGUUCUUUGGAAUAGGACAUCAUAGAGGGUGAGAAUCCCGUAUUUGGUCAUUCCUCCUAGCGUUGUGAUACACUUUCAACGAGUCGGAUUGUUUGGGAAUGCAGUCCAAAAUGGGUGGUAAAUUUCAUCUAAAGCUAAAUAUUGGCGAGAGACCGAUAGCGAACAAGUACCGUGAGGGAAAGAUGAAAAGAACUUUGAAAAGAGAGUUAAACAGUACGUGAAAUUGUCAAGAGGGAAGCGUUUGACACCAGUGUUGUUUUUCCGAAAAUCAAUUACGAAUGUUUUGUUUUUGAGGAGUUAUGACUUCAUCGGCUUGCUCCUUCCUUUAUGAAACUUUCUUAAUGCACUUUUCGGUUAACAAGUCAACAUCAAUUUCUUUUGUUGUAAAAGGGUAUGAGGAAGGUGGCUUUCUUUUCGGAGAAAGUGUUUAUAGCCUUGUGCCUCUGCAAUCGGAGAGAUUGAGGUCUGCAGCGUAGAUCCUUCGGGGUUAGAUACGUUUGUGCUAAGUUAUAGCUUUUCAUAGACAACUUGUUGACUAUGUUUAGUCUUGUAGCUUACUCGCUGACGCUAUUUUACCUACGCUUAGGAUGUUGAGUAGCGACAUACGCAC
rnacentral:rRNA from 1 species